rnacentral:rRNA from 1 species
UUGGAGGGCAAGUCUGGUGCCAGCAGCCGCGGUAAUUCCAGCUCCAAUAGCGUAUAUUAAAGUUGUUGCAGUUAAGAAGCUCGUAGUUGAAUUUCGGGAUCAGUACGCCGGUCGUGCCUUCGGUAUGCACUGGUGUCACUGGUUUCUCCCUUCUGAAGAACCAUCAUGCCAUUCAGUUGGUGUGGCGGGGAAUCAGGACUGUUACUUUGAAAAAAUUAGAGUGUUUAAAGCAGGCUCGCGCUUGAAUACAUUAGCAUGGAAUUAUGAAAUAGGACGUUUGACCCUAUUUUGUUGGUUUCUAGGAUCGACGUAAUGAUUAAUAGGGAUAGUUGGGGGCAUUAGUAUUCAAUUGUCAGAGGUGAAAUUCUUGGAUUUAUUGAAGACUAACUACUGCGAAAGCAUUUGCCAAGGAUGUUUUCAUUAAUCAAGAACGAAAGUUAGGGGAUCGAAGACGAUCAGAUACCGUCGUAGUCUUAACCAUAAACUAUGCCGACUAGGGAUCGGAUGAUGUUAAUUUUUUAAUGACUCAUUCGGCACCUUACGGGAAAC